AUUGAACGCUGGCGGCAGGCCUAACACAUGCAAGUCGAGCGGAUGAAGGGAGCUUGCUCCUGGAUUCAGCGGCGGACGGGUGAGUAAUGCCUAGGAAUCUGCCUGGUAGUGGGGGAUAACGUCCGGAAACGGGCGCUAAUACCGCAUACGUCCUGAGGGAGAAAGUGGGGGAUCUUCGGACCUCACGCUAUAAGAUGAGCCUAGGUCGGAUUAGCUAGUUGGUGGGGUAAAGGCCUACCAAGGCGACGAUCCGUAACUGGUCUGAGAGGAUGAUCAGUCACACUGGAACUGAGACACGGUCCAGACUCCUACGGGAGGCAGCAGUGGGGAUUAUUGGACAAUGGGCGAAAGCCUGAUCCAGCCAGGCCGCGUGUGUGAAGAAGGUCUUCGGAUUGUAAAGCCCUUUAAGUUGGGAGAAAGGGCAUUAAGUUAAUACCUUGCUGUUUUGACGUUACCAACAGAAUAAGCACCGGCUAACUUCGUG
rnacentral:rRNA from 1 species